rnacentral:rRNA from 1 species
CAGUAGCCGCGGUAACACGUAGGGUGCGAGCGUUAAUCGGAAUUACUGGGCGUAAAGGGAGCGUAGGCGGUUUGUUAAGACAGAUGUGAAAUCCCCGGGCUCAACCUGGGAACUGCAUUUGUGACUGGCAAGCUAGAGUGUGGCAGAGGGGGGUGGAAUUCCGCGUGUAGCAGUGAAGUGCGUAGAUAUGCGGAGGAACACCGAUGGCGAAGGCAGCCCCCUGGGCCAACACUGACGCUCAUGCACGAAAGCGUGGGGAGCAAACAGGAUUAGAGACCCCAGUAGUCCCUGUCUCUUAUAC